GGUUGAGUGGUGUAGUGGUAACACGCUGACUUGCAAUACAUUAUUUCUUGGAGGUGGUUCCUUGGUACCUAUCACGGGCUUAUCCUGGGCUAUCACGGGUCUUAUCUGCACUAUAGUCAGAACCGGAGGUUCGAAUCCUCCUUCGACCG